rnacentral:rRNA from 1 species
AACGUGCCCGAUCGUGGGGGAUAACGGAGCGAAAGCUUUGCUAAUACCGCAUACGAUCUACGGAUGAAAGCAGGGGACCGCAAGGCCUUGCGCGGACGGAGCGGCCGAUGGCAGAUUAUGUAGUUGGUGGGAUAAAAGCUUACCAAGCCGACGAUCUGUAGCUGGUCUGAGAGGACGACCAGCCACACUGGGACUGAGACACGGCCCAGACUCCUACGGGAGGCAGCAGUGGGGAAUUUUGGACAAUGGGCGAAAGCCUGAUCCAGCCAUGCCGCGUGCAGGAUGAAGGCCUUCUGGUUGUAAACUGCUUUUGUACGGAACGAAAAGACUCCUUCUAAUAAAGGGGGUNCAUGACGGUACCGUAAGAAUAAGCACCGGCUAACUACGUGC